CCUACGGGAGGCAGCAGUGAGGAAUAUUGGUCAAUGGGCGGGAGCCUGAACCAGCCAAGUCGCGUGAGGGAAGACGGUCCUAUGGAUUGUAAACCUCUUUAGGCGGGGAGCAAUGCCGGGCACGCGUGCCCGGAGGGAGAGUACCCGCCGAAUAAGCAUCGGCUAACUCGGUCCCAGCAGCCGCGGUAAUACGGGGGAUGCGAGGGUUAUCCGGUUUUAUUGGGGUUAAAGGUUGCGUAGGCGGAUUUUUAAGUCAGCGGUAAAAUGUCCGGGCUCAACCCGGGCCGGCCGUUGAAACUGGGGAUCUUGAGUGGGCGAGAAGUAUGCGGAAUGCGUGGUGUAGCGGUGAAAUGCAUAGAUAUCACGCAGAACUCCGAUUGCGAAGGCAGCAUACCGGCGCCCGACUGACGCUGAGGCACGAAAGCGUGGGGAUCGAACAGGAUUAGAUACCCUUGUAGUC
rnacentral:rRNA from 1 species